GGAAUAUUGGUCAAUGGGCGGAAGCCUGAACCAGCCAUGCCGCGUGAUGGAAGGAGGCCCUAUGGGUCGUAAACAUCUUUUGUGCGGGAGCAAUAAGGGUCACGUGUGAUCCGAUGAGAGUACCGUACGAAUAAGCAUCGGCUAACUCCGUGCCAGCAGCCGCGGUAAUACGGAGGAUGCAAGCGUUAUCCGGAUUUAUUGGGUUUAAAGGGUGCGUAGGCUGUUUUCCAAGUCAGCGGUGAAAUGCCGGGGCUCAACCCCGGAACUGCCAUUGAUACUGGGAGGCUUGAAUGCGGAUGCCGUGGGAGGAAUGAGUAGUGUAGCGGUGAAAUGCAUAGAUAUUACUCAGAACACCGAUUGCGAAGGCAUCUCACGAAUCCGCUAUUGACGCUGAGGCACGAAAGCGUGGGGAUCAAACA
rnacentral:rRNA from 1 species